rnacentral:rRNA from 1 species
GUUCCAGACUCCUACGGGAGGCAGCAGUGGGGGAUAUUGCACAAUGGGGGGAACCCUGAUGCAGCGACGCCGCGUGGGUGAAGGAGUGCUUCGGCAUGUAAAGCCCUAUCGGCAGGGAAGAAGCAAGACGGUACCUGACUAAGAAGCCCCAGCUAACUACGUGCCAGCAGCCGCGGUAAUACGUAGGGGGCGAGCGUUAUCCGGAAUUACUGGGUGUAAAGGGAGCGUAGGCGGGAUUGCAAGUUGGAUGUGAAAACUGCGGGCUCAACCCGGAGCGUGCAUUCAAAACUGCGAUUCUUGAGUGAAGUAGAGGCAAGCGGAAUUCCUAGUGUAGCGGUGAAAUGCGUAGAUAUUAGGAGGAACACCAGUGGCGAAGGCGGCUUGCUGGGCUUUUACUGACGCUGAGGCUCGAAAGUGUGGGGAGCAAACAGGAUUAGAUACCCCCGUAGAA